rnacentral:rRNA from 1 species
GACGAACCGUCCAAACGUUAUUCGGAAUCACUGGGCUUACAGAGUUCGUAGGCGGUCUGGAAAGUUGGGUGUGAAAUCCCUCGGCUCAACUGAGGAACUGCGCUUGAAACUACCAGACUCGAGGGAGAUAGAGGAAAGCGGAACUGAUGGUGGAGCGGUGAAAUGCGUUGAUAUCAUCAGGAACACCGGUGGCGAAGGCGGCUUUCUGGGUCUUACCUGACGCUGAGGAACGAAAGCCAGGGGAGCGAACGGG